rnacentral:rRNA from 1 species
AUUCGAUUAGAGUUUGAUUCUGGCUCAGGAUAAACGCUAGCGGCAGGCUUAAUACAUGCAAGUCGAACGGUAACAGAUCCAGCAAUGGGUGCUGACGAGUGGCGCACGGGUGCGUAACACGUAUGCAACCUACCUUUAACUAAGGAAUAGCCCCGAGAAAUCGGGAUUAAUACUUUAUACCAUUAUGAUUAGACAUCUUUUUAUAAUGAAAGCUCCGGCGGUUAAAGAUGGGCAUGCGCGACAUUAGCUAGUUGGUAAGGUAACGGCUUACCAAGGCUACGAUGUCUAGGGGUUCUGAGAGGAUUUUCCCCCACACUGGUACUGAGACACGGACCAGACUCCUACGGGAGGCAGCAGUAAGGAAUAUUGGGCAAUGGACGCAAGUCUGACCCAGCCAUGCCGCGUGCAGGAUGAAUGCCCUAUGGGUUGUAAACUGCUUUUAUACGGGAAAAAACCCUUCGACGUGUCGGAGGCUGAUGGUACCGUAAGAAUAAGGAUCGGCUAACUCCGUGCCAGCAGCCGCGGUAAUACGGAGGAUCCAAGCGUUAUCCGGAUUUAUUGGGUUUAAAGGGUGCGUAGGCGGAAUUGUAAGUCAGUGGUGAAAUCCUACAGCUU